rnacentral:rRNA from 1 species
UACGUAGGGGGCAAGCGUUGUCCGGAUUUAUUGGGCGUAAAGAGCGUGUAGGCGGCUAGAUAGGUCCGUUGUGAAAACUGGAGGCUCAACCUCCAGCUGUCGAUGGAAACCAUCUGGCUAGAGUCCGGAAGAGGAGAGUGGAAUUCCUGGUGUAGCGGUGAAAUGCGCAGAUAUCGGGAAGAACACCCGUGGCGAAGGCGGCUCUCUGGGACGGUACUGACGCUGAGACGCGAAAGCGUGGGGAGCGAACAGG